UCCCUGGUAGUCCAGUGGCUAAGACUCUGUACUCCUGAUGCAGGGGGCUGAGUUCAAUCCCUGGUCGGGGAA
rnacentral:tRNA from 1 species